AGCGAACGUUAGCGGCGGGCUUAACACAUGCAAGUCGGACGAGAAAGAGUCCUUCGGGGCUUGAGUAAAGUGGCGCACGGGUGAGUAACACGUGGGUAAUCUACCCUCCGGCGGGGGACAACAACUGGAAACGGUUGCUAAUACCGCAUACACCUAGCGGCCUUCGGGCUGCUCGGCGAAAGGCUUCGGUCACCGGAGGAUGAGCCCGCGGCCCAUCACGCUAGUUGGUGAGGUAAUGGCCCACCAAGGCGAAGACGGGUAGCUGGUCUGAGAGGAUGAUCAGCCACACUGGGACUGAGACACGGCCCAGACUCCUACGGGAGGCAG
rnacentral:rRNA from 1 species